GUGGGGAAUAUUGGGCAAUGGGCGAAAGCCUGACCCAGCAACGCCGCGUGAAGGAAGAAGGUUUUCGGAUCGUAAACUUCUAUCCUUGGUGAAGAUAAUGACGGUAGCCAAGAAGGAAGCCCCGGCUAACUACGUGCCAGCAGCCGCGGUAAUACGUAGGGGGCAAGCGUUGUCCGGAAUGAUUGGGCGUAAAGGGCGCGUAGGCGGCCCGGUAAGUCUGAAGUGAAAGUCCUGCUUUUAAGGUGGGAAUUGCUUUGGAUACUGUCGGGCUUGAGUGCAGGAGAGGUAAGCGGAAUUCCCGGGGUGGCGGUGAAAGGCGUAGAAAUCGGGAGGAACACCAGUGGCGAAGGCGGCUUACUGGACUGUAACUGACGCUGAGGCGCGAAAGUGUGGGGAGCAAACAGGAUUAGAUACCCGGGUAGUCC
rnacentral:rRNA from 1 species